CACUGCGAAGCUAAGAGCGUUAACCUUUUAAGUUUAAAUUAGAGAAUCUUUCAUCUCCACAGUGA
rnacentral:tRNA from 1 species